rnacentral:rRNA from 1 species
ACGGAGGGUGCGAGCGUUAUCCGGAUUUAUUGGGUUUAAAGGGUGCGUAGGUGGACUGAUAAGUCAGUGGUGAAAGUUUGCCGCUCAACGAUAAAAUUGCCAUUGAAACUGUUAGUCUUGAGUAUGUUUGAGGUAGGCGGAAUGCGUGGUGUAGCGGUGAAAUGCUUAGAUAUCACGCAGAACUCCGAUUGCGAAGGCAGCUUACUAAACCAUAACUGACACUGAAGCACGAAAGCGUGGGUAUCAAACAG